GAUGAAGAACGUAGCGAAAUGCGAUACUUGGUGUGAAUUGCAGAAUCCCGUGAACCAUCGAGUCUUUGAACGCAAGUUGCGCCCGAAGCCAUUAGGCCGAGGGCACGCCUGCCUGGGCGUCACACGUCGUUGCCCCCCCAUCUACUCCUUCGGGAUUGCGGGGGGCGGAUGAUGGCCUCCCGUGCGCCUCGCCGCGCGGUUGGCAUAAAUGCCAAGUCCUCGGCGACGCACGCCACGACAAUCGGUGGUUGCGAAACCUCGGUUGCCCGUCGUGUGCGGUCGUCGCGCAUCGAGGGCUCGAAAAAAUUGCCGGGUUCCGGCUCGGAUUUCAACGCGACCCCAGGUCAGGCGGGGUUACCCGCUGAAUUUAAGCAUAUCAAUAAGCGGAGGA
rnacentral:misc_RNA from 1 species